GCGGCCGCCGCAUCAGGUGACAGCCCGGAAGCAGCGGAAGCGGAUGAGGGUAGCGCGGCAGCGGCCCUGGGGGGCGGCACGGAGCUGCGGGAGCCUCGGCCUCCUCCGGGCCGCCUGCGCGGCCCUCAUGCGGCGCCCUCGCUGACACCUGAAACCCGCUGCUCGCCGUCCUCCUGGGGACCGCGGGGUUCGCCGGGCCCGCCGCCCUUGGCGGUUGAAGUCGGCGGCUUGCGGGCCCGCGGCGGCCGCCCAUGGAGAAGGCCGGGCGGGGAGGCGAUGGCGCCCCCCGGGGGCCCGUACUGCACAUCGUGGUGGUCGGCUUUCAUCACAAGAAGGGCUGCCAGGUUGAAUUCUCUUACCCGCCCCUGAUUCCAGGAGAUGGUCAUGACAGCCCCACUUUACCUGAAGAAUGGAAGUAUUUGCCCUUCCUUGCCUUACCAGAUGGCGCACACAACUACCAGGAAGAUACUGUCUUUUUUCACUUGCCACCCAGAAAUGGAAAUGGAGCCACAGUAUAUGGUAUCUCCUGCUAUCGACAAAUUGAAGCCAAGGCAUUGAAAGUACGGCAAGCAGAUAUCACCAGAGAGACCGUUCAGAAAAGUGUCUGUGUUCUAAGCAAGUUGCCUCUCUAUGGCUUACUUCAAGCAAAACUUCAGCUCAUUACACAUGCAUAUUUUGAAGAGAAGGAUUUUUCCCAAAUUUCCAUCCUAAAGGAGCUUUAUGAGCAUAUGAAUAGUUCCUUGGGAGGAACUUCAUUAGAAGGAUCCCAAGUAUAUCUUGGUCUGUCUCCUCGAGAUCUUGUGCUUCAUUUUCGACACAAGGUCUUAAUCCUGUUUAAACUAAUUCUUCUUGAAAAAAAGGUUCUCUUUUAUAUUUCUCCAGUGAAUAAAUUGGUGGGUGCCCUGAUGACUGUGUUAUCCCUUUUUCCAGGCAUGAUUGAACAUGGUCUCAGUGACUGUUCUCAGUACAGACCCCGAAAGAGUAUGUCUGAAGAUGCUGGGCUUCAUGAAAGUAAUCACCCUGCAGAUGAUUUUGUGUCUAUGUCUGCUCCUGACAUUUCAAAUACCAACUCAGGAACUGUUAAGAAAAUCAUGACAGGAAACCACGGAGGAGAUGCUGUCAUCAAGACCGAAGAACCGUUGCUCCAAGUAGAAGAUGACAGCAGCAAAGGACAGGAACCCAAUGAAACCAGUCAAUAUUUGAAACCUCCUUCUCGCCCAUCUCCAGAGUCUUCAGAAAGUGACUGGGAGACCUUGGAUCCUAGCAUCUUAGAGGACCCUACCUUGAAAGAAAGGGAACAGGGUUCAGAACAGACAAACUCAUUUCCAAAGGAGUCUGUGCCCUCAGACAGUCCUCCAAUUACUGUACAACCUCAAGCUAAUACAGGCCAGGUGGUACUGAUACCAGGGCUAAUUUCUGGUUUGGAAGAAGACCAAUAUGGCAUGCCCCUGGCCAUCUUCACAAAGGGAUAUCUGUGUUUGCCUUACAUGGCAUUGCAGCAGCAUCAUCUUCUCUCUGAUGUCACCGUCCGUGGAUUCGUUGCUGGGGCUACUAACAUCCUUUUCCGCCAGCAGAAGCACCUCAGUGAUGCCAUUGUGGAGGUAGAAGAAGCUCUGAUCCAGAUCCAUGAUCCAGAACUCAGGAAGCUGCUUAACCCAACCACUGCAGACCUCAGGUUCGCAGAUUACCUAGUGAGACACGUGACGGAGAACCGGGAUGAUGUCUUCCUGGAUGGCACAGGCUGGGAGGGAGGUGACGAGUGGAUCCGAGCCCAGUUUGCAGUCUACAUCCACGCACUCCUGGCUGCCACACUGCAGUUAGAUAAUGAAAAGAUUUUAUCGGACUAUGGGACAACCUUUGUUACAGCAUGGAAGAAUACUCACAACUACAGGGUGUGGAACAGCAACAAGCAUCCGGCACUUGCAGAAAUAAAUCCGAAUUGCUCCGGCUCAACCGCAAUCCUGAAGCAAAUGAUCCUUUUCGUGACACGUCAUCAGAAGGUCGCUAGUAACCUAACGCUACAUCACAGUAAAUGCCCUUCACCUCCCUUCAUCUCAUCACUAGGCAUUUUACCAUCCCACAUCAUCACAAGAAGAGGAAGGCCAUCCUUUUCAAGGCCAGUACUCCGUGUCAGACAUGAAGUUAAGAUUCUCACAUUCUGUUCAAAACAGUGAACGUGGCAAAAAAAUUGGAAACGUCAUGGUCACAACCAGCCGAAAUGUUGUACAAACAGGAAAAGCUGUUGGCCAGUCAGUUGGAGGAGCCUUUUCCAGUGCGAAGACAGCUAUGUCUUCGUGGCUUUCUACUUUCACCAGUCCCGCCCCCCAAAGUCUCACUGAGCCCCCGGAUGGGAAGCCCUGAGCAAGGCGUCCAGAGGCUACUGUCGCUUCCUUAGGUUUAAAUGUCUCCCGUCUGUCUGCUGCUCCCAGACUGUUCUCUUCAUCGGCCACAGGUCCACAGCAGGGGACCAGGAUGUUGAACUGUUUACAGGGACGGUUGUCCUCUGUCUAAUUGAAUGUCGCAGGAUGCUGGAAAGAUGAAAUCGCAGCCAUAGCAGGGAUGGCUUUCCAGGUUGGGGUUUAAAUUGACUACUUUUAUUUCAGUCUGAGCCUGAUUAAAACACAGUGAAACUUCUAAUGAAUUUUCAGUUCUGAUAGUGUACAUUUGUUUACUUUAGACAAGUUUUUACUUAUGUAAAUUUUGUUCUCUUUUCCUGUUUGAAUAUCCAGAUGGCCACUGUCAUUUAUAUGUGCUAAAAUUAAGUUAUAUUACUAUUCUGAUUUCUCUCAAGUUGGCCCUAAAAUGUGCUUAUAAAGUUAAGGGGCCAUACAAUCCAGCCCUUUGUUAUUACUUUGCUGAGUUAUAUGAUGAUUUUUUUUUGUUGGUUUUCUGCCCACAAAAUAUAUUUAUCAGUUCACUUCCUCCCAGAAACAUGAAAACCAGAGGUGGUAGUUCUGAGGAUGGAGUGUUUUGUUUCAUGUUUUUAAUUUAUUCUUUCCCAGUCCUAAACACUUGCUCUGAGAUGUCAAGGAGUGUCACUGUACUUUCUUCCUCUUCCCAACUGUGCAGGUGGGUGUGCAGAGAAAUAGCAUGGUGCAAUGGUGUUCAAGCAGGUUAAUAUGAGUGUAUUUACAGCGGAGACUCUGGAAGACCUCGGUGUUAGUUCUGUCAACCCUAAUUAUGUUGCAGUCUUCUACAAGCAUUUUUUAACCCACAGUUUGUGCCUUCUGUUUCUUCUUUUGAACCGUUUUCCCUGGGAGUUUACAGAUGUACAGGUUUUUCUCUUAGUCUUAUUUUUCAUACAGCUUUUCAAGGCGUUCGGCCUUCCCACUCCCCGAUGGAAAAUCCUUCUGUAAUCAAUCCCUACCCCCUUAUGAAAGAAAAACAAGAUGAUCCAUAAAUAUUAAGUAGAAAUCUCAUCUUUGCUCACAUUUAGAAAACCAAGAAAGAGAAGAAAAACACAGCCACAGUUUUCACAAAGGACCUCUGGUUUCACUUUAGAUACAUGCGUGUGUGUGCUAUCUGCUGAAGAUAUUUACACAACGGGACCUCCUGUAUCUCCUGUGCUCAGCUCUCAUUUGCUUUUCAAGGGGACUUUGGAUGGGUGUUCUCAGGGAGUACUUAAUAGGGGACAAACUGCUUGUUCAGUAACCAAGGACACUUGGAAAAUACAUUGUGAGUAUGAUCUACAUAUGAUAAGAGUAUUGGGAAAACAUUUAAUUAAGGAGAACACUUGAUUAUAUUUGAUUUAUCCCUUAAGAAUGGGACACCUGGCUGGCUCAGUUGGUAGAUCAUGUGACUCUUGAUCUCAGGGUCAUGAGUUCAAGCCCACAUUGGAUGUGUAGCCUACUUAAAAAAAUAAAAUCUUUUUUAAAAAUUAAGUGUUUACUUAAGUAAAUUUUUCUAGAGCAUGUGGAAUGGACAUAGGGAUGUAAUGCUAAAUAUCUCUAAAUUUUCCAAUUUGUGUUUUAACGCAAGUCCAGCAAAUCUGAAAGUGUAUUUCCAUUUGAGACAAUAACUCAGAAAUUCAGUGAUCAUCAGUGAAAGGGCUUAUGGUGAGAACUCUCUUAAUUCCACUUCUGCUGGGAAACAGCCUUCUCAGGAAAUACUAUUUGAAGAGAAGAAAAUAAUACCAAACAAAACCUUAAAAGGUACUUUAAUCAGUGUUGCACUUAAAGAAUUCAUUCUAACAUCUUGUUUCAUGAGGCCACAUCAUUAGUUGGAGUGUCAUAGUGUGGUUGUGCAGUUGGUGUUGGUGUGCAGUUGUUCCCUCUCACCUGCCCAAAGUUCACAGAGCUGAGAGCACCGCGACCGGUGAGCCAGCACACUGCCGGCCCGUCCUCCACUUUGGAUGGUGUGAGGGCUUAGGGUAAACUCCCAUCUCUCACAAAAGCAGGCCAGUCCACAUUUUGAUACCUCACUGAAAUAAAAGUAGUUUAACUUUACUUUAGGAUCACUUGUUCCCCAUUUUUAUAUAUACUUUUAAUGAACUUUCUGUUAAUGUUUCUGAUUAAGAGUUCAACUCUUAAGGUGGUUAUUUAACUGGCUUUCAACAUAAAUUGAAUAUCUCAAAAGAUAGAACUUUUGUUGGAGAAGUAGUCAAAAAACCGAACCAUAUUUCCUUCAGGUUCUAGGAGGCAUUGGAGUUUCAGGGAGCAUAAGCUAAUGUGUUGUUGGCAGGGGUCCGGGGGCAGCCAGCACACUUGAUGUCAGGAAGCCUGGCCCUUGUCUCAUGAGCCUGCGUGCUUGUCCGUUGGAUUCCAGGUGUCAGCUAAGUGGCCAACCCCAGAGGCUGUAGCCUCCUUGGCUCUUUGAGCGAUGGGAGCCAACCUUAGGCCAUCUUUGGACAUCUCAGUAGUAAAGGUGGAUGUUUCGUUGGGCCAUACUUGCUCCAGUGCUUUUCUGUCUAAGAAUUGAGUAUUUGUAAGUAGGCCUGAGGGAGUUAGGGUCAGCCAAGCUUUUCCAGGCUGUGCCAGGCACAUGGACUGCAACUAUAACUUGCUGGUGGUCUCACUACCAUCUAGGUAAGUCAAAGGAGUGCCGGCAGUAAGUCCCUGGCAUUAUUUAGUUCCUACUAAGGCAUUGUAAUGACAGUUUACAUAGGGAAGGAAAAGAGUUAAGUCUACCAACCGCCUGUCAUGGGCUAAGUGAAUAGAAAAAGUUGCAUGUCAGAGUGAGUCAUAGUUACCUUGAGUAUGCAUUUGACUCUUGUAACCAGGGUGAGUAGCCUGUCCCCAAAUCCACUAGUGUUGUGCUAGCGCCCAGGCUCUAAAACAAUCUUUGUCUACUUUUUGCUCUAAGAAACAGUGGAAAUAUACACGGGCAGCGAACCAGAGCAAAUGACGUGAUUUCCUCAACGUUAUCUUGCUUUAUGAGUUCUAUAUUAAGCAUUGCUUUUUUUUUUUUUAAAGAAUAAUUUACUUUAGAAAGGCAAGGAGAAAGCAUAUUAGAAGGGAGACAAGUAGACAAGUUAGAAGUUGCAAGGCUGAGAAACAAGUUACUUAAAAUCUGAAUGAAGGUAUUUUUGAGAGCAGUAUUUAAUGUGCUAAAGGUUAUAAGAAUUAUUUUACAAAGAAGUUAGAAUUUUAAUCUACUAACUACAGGUUUUUAAAUGAAGCUAUAACAUUAUCUCCCUGACCGGCAGGUUUUGUUCUUUCUUUGUUUUGUGGAAGUUACAGCCAGCCAGUGGUUUUUUUUUCCCCCCCCUCUGGGCCUCAUGAUGAGUUGGGGAGCAGUCAGCUCUGUGAGGGGCAGUGAGCUGAUCUUGAACUGCAUGAACUUUUAUCUGUGUCAGCAGUUUGGGGAAGUAGCCUUUUAGAAUGGUAGCUGCUAAAUAUCACCCACGUUUCAUUGGGCAGUUGGUUGGGACUCUUGAAAUGACAUCACCAUUUGCAUGCUCUGAUUCUUUGACCAGAGGUGGCACAGCAUUUAUGGCCUUUCCACCCAAAUCAGUGGUAGCCUCUGAGGCUGACAGGGAGCGCAGUCCCAGCUUCUAGAAGAUGAUUGUCCUUCCACACGACACGGCAUGCCACUAAGAGUUUUUCAUUCCAGGUCUUUGGACUUCAUGACAUUGGAAUUGUUUUGUCAUAAUUUCUAACAUUCCAUAAAUACUUGUCAAGGACAAAGAAAAGGAAUGUGGACCUUUAUUCUUUUCGUAUAAAUAACUUUGUACACAUAACUUCCUGCUUUCCUAUGAAGGGGAAGAAAUUAGCUCCUCCCUUGUGUGGUAACUCCAGAAUUAAACAAUUGUGCACGUAGAGGGAUUGAGUAUAUUUUGUAAAACUCUAAUGAUUUGUAUUUCUGUGCUGUUCUGAACUUUACCUUUUUACUUAUAUUAAUUAAAGAUAUAGAAACUAUAUAUUUAAAUCAUGUAAAUGGGAUACAAUUUAGGGGUUUUUUUCCAGUCUUAUUUUUCAUCAGCUUCUCACAUACACAUAGUAUGCUGCUCAAAUUUUUUCGUGUGCAAUAUAAACAUUUGAACAUUUCAGUCAGGUACUGAGCCAGAAAAGGUAAUUGAAGUUUUUUAAGAAAGCUUCUGAGCUUAGAAAAUAUUUGUUUUCUUGAAAUAUUAAUUUAUAGCUGGAAAAAACGGGAUCAAGACUUAUAUGUUUCAGGCCACUUGGUCAUUGUUUCCUAAGUUUAAGAAGCAUUUGAUUAAGAAGUUGGUGAAGGCAUUUAGUGGUCACAAAAACAGUUAAACAUUUGAGAUUAAAGGCUUCCCACAAACCCUCUCUAAGAAAGUUUAGCUAAGAAAUCUUAGAAACUUUUCUGAGAAGGUUUAGCUAUGGCACAUGUUUUGAUCAGAAAAAUAGUUCCUCUUUGCUCCAGUAGUUUUUGUAAUUUGUACUAGUUGUUUCUGUUGUCAUUUGUUUAAAAAAAAUGUUAAAAUUAUAAAUCACGUCUAAUCAUAGUGAAUUGUAAAACUUCUACUGUAUCUUUAUUUUAAGGAAAAAUAAGAAUAAAAUUAUCCUGUUUGUCCUGCA